GACGAACGCUGGCGGCGUGCCUAAUACAUGCAAGUCGAACGCAGUGGGGACGGGUGAGUAACACGUGGGUAACCUCCCAUCAGAGGGGAUAACACUUGGAAACAGGUGCUAAACCGAUACUGAUGGAGGGUCCCGCGGUGGUUUCGCUGGUUGGGGAGGUAACGGCUCACCAAGGCCACGAUGCUUGGCCGGCCUGAGAGGUUGAUCGGCCACACGGGGACUGAGACACGGCCCAGACUCCUACGGGAGGCAGCAGUAGGGAAUCUUCGGCAAUGGACGAAAGUCUGACCCAGCAACGCCGCGUGAGUGAAGAAGGUUUUCGGAUCGUAAAGCUCUGUUGUUAGAGAAGCGGUAUCUAACCAGAAAGCAACGGCUAACUACGUGCCAGCAGCCGCGGUAAUAC
rnacentral:rRNA from 1 species